CAUGCCUUACGCAUCGAACUGCGGAAUCGCGAUCUCAUCAUUCCAAGCCUGUGUCCCUUUCGUAUGCGUCAUGGGCGAAGGUCGAGUUCCUGUGUUGCAAACCCAAAGGGGAAAUCGGUUGCGUUGCGAUUUGAUUUUCGCCUCACGCCCGUUAAGGGUGAUGUGGUGAACGUGGAUGCGCCUCCUCUGCUCCAAACAUGCCGGUUUUGGCUGUUCUGGUGCAGUGGAAGGUUGCUCGUGGUUUGGGAUGCGGAAAACCUUAUGUAGCAGGAGGGAUCGAAUCCCUCCAUCGCUCAAAAUGUCCAUGAUAUUCGAACGACGCGCAACGCUCGUCUCCCUUCCUCGAACGGGCUAGAAUCCUGGCUUGUCGGGUACCGGAGCGGGUGCUGGGCUCGUGAAGGAAUGC
rnacentral:misc_RNA from 1 species